UUAUAAAUUCAGAUCUGAAGUUAGUAUUGCAGAUCUGAAUUUCAACUAUAUCAAAUCUCACAAUAUUGCAAUCUCUUUUUGUCUCUCGUUCACUUCCAAAAACCCUAGAUUUCAAAGAUCUGAAGAUACAACUCUAUCAAAUCUCAUAGUUUCAGAUUUGCAUGAGAUGCUAGGUGUGGUCUGUUGCUUUUUUCUGAUGUGUGUAGUGAGGCAUGUGUGGUCCGUUGUUUUUUUUAUUUUAUUUUAUUUGAAAUGUUGAUGUCUAUCAUUUAAUCUAUGCUCUGCUUUAUCUUAGUUCGAUAUUAAAGGUCUUAUAUUCUUCAACUGUUUUAUGUAAAUAAAUAUAUCUUUUUUUGAGCAGCUGUCCUUGUUUGUGGGUGGUAUAUUAAAGGGUCAUAUACUGGAUGGAUGUUAUCUCCAAUAGUUGGGUCAUAUAUGGAGCAGAUCAUGAUAUAAUGUGGCUCCAAAAGGACUUUGGCAUACAUAUCUGCAAUUUGUUUUGACACCAGGUUGCUGCAUAUUCAAAUGGCCAUGUGAAAGUGAAUGAGUUCCUAGAUCCACUCGAACUAAAUACUUGAGGUGAUCUUUGUAAUUCUAUACUAUUACAACUCUGCUAAUAUAAUAGUUUAUUACUUUUAUUUUCAUGUCAGCUGGAAAGCCAAGUCUAUAUUAGACCUUGCGGUAUUGGUUUCUGUUAAUUGCAUGCUACUAUAAUGGCACAAACCAAAACAUCGGUUUAGAUGGGGUUAGUCAUAAUUGUAAAUUGUAGAUAUGUAUUUUCUUGACUUAUCAGUUUUCACCAUUUUAACCACUGCUCAAUCUAAUAUAUUAGAGUCCCAAACUAGAAUUUAAUAAAACAUAAUCAGAAGGAAUCGUCAACUAAUGACAAUGUGAAAAUGUCAGAAUAGAUCAUCAAACUUUUCCUGGCACUAUCUAAAGUCUAAACAUGCUGAUGCAACCCCCUACAUACCAUGGGAAUAAAUUAUUACUUGGUCUACAUCUUAAAAUUCAAUCAAUGAAGGAAGGUCUGAUACUCAGUUUGGUUUUGUUUUCAAUUUUCAUAAUCUGAAAACAGAAAGUUUAUUUUGAAUGUUUAGUCUCUUCUAGGUCUUUUCAUAUCUUAAUUCUUUGAGAAAUAAGAGCAAAGGAAAUCAAUUUGUCUUGAAAGUUGGAACCAUUUUAGUUCUAGCAAAUGGGGCUUUGUUUAUCUUACUAAUGUUAGUUGUUGAGCUGCUAUAAUUUUUAUCAAUCCUCAUGGUGAUUCUUUAUUGAUAUGUGAUUGGUUCCCAACUGCCUACGCCAAACUUAGACAAUUACAAAUUUUUACAUUGUAGUUGUCUGUAUAAUUUAUUUAUUUUUUUUUUGACUUUUUAGGAUGCAAAAUUAGUAAUUAAGUUUUUGUAUUCAAAUUUUGCUAAUAUAUACAAUUUGUAUUUUUAGAAUUGAUUGUUGAUGUAACAUUACACACAGAAUCGGCUACAAAACUUACUAUAGAAUCAUGUGUUGCAAAGUUUUUGUGGUUGGUUUUGUGAAUAAUACUUCUCCAACAUUCUUUUUAUUUACGUGAGCGUUUCUUUUUUUUUUCCCUUUUUUUUUUUUUUGAAAAAAGAGAGAUACAUAAUGGUAAGUAUCUUAUGUUUUUACUAAGAGAGUUAUAGAAUGAAGAAGGCUUUUUGUAUGUAUAAUGACAAAAUUUCUUUUCUCUUCAUAUUUAACAGUUGAUGCUGUGAUAGAAUUUACUCUUCUUUCUUCUUUUUUUGGGGUCAUUUUUUUGUUUUGCUACAGAGAUGGGAGAGUAUGGAGAAGUGUACAAGACUCAUAAGUAUUUUAGUCCAUAGUUAAAGUGCAAAAGUAUGGAAAACUUAGAUUAGGGUUAGAAAGAAGGAGAGAAGAACAAGGAGAAGAAGUUUAUUAAACGUAUGUUUUAGGCUUGUAUAAUAAACUUAAACCAUCAGCAAAUAUUUAUAUGAGAUACAAUAUAACCAAAUGACCAUAAUACUCUUACUCCACACAAAAAAAAUAACAUAUGACUACAUAUUCUAACACUCCCUCUUAAGCUGGAGCAUAAAGAUCGAAUAUGUCCAACAUGGCAUAGAGACUAAAAUGAAGAACGAGCAAGGGAUUUGGUGAGUAUAUCACCCAAUUGAUCAUCAAAGUAAACAUUUGGUGUCACAAGUUGCAUAUGCAACGACAAAUCCCAGAUGAAAUGACAAUCGACCUAAAUAUGCUUUGUCACUCAUGAAACACG